AAUGGACAACGAUUUGGGUGAG
rnacentral:miRNA from 1 species